UACGUAGGGUGCGAGCGUUAAUCGGAAUUACUGGGCGUAAAGCGUGCGCAGGCGGUUUUGUAAGCCAGAUGUGAAAUCCCCGGGCUCAACCUGGGAAUGGCAUUUGGGACUGCAAGGCUGGAGUGCGGCAGAGGAGACUGGAAUUCCUGGUGUAGCAGUGAAAUGCGUAGAUAUCAGGAGGAAUACCGAUGGCGAAGGCAGGUCUCUGGGCUGACACUGACACUCAUGCACGAAAGCGUGGGGAGCAAACAGG
rnacentral:rRNA from 1 species